AGCAGUAGCCGCGGUAAUACGGAGGGAGCUAGCGUUGUUCGGAAUUACUGGGCGUAAAGCGCGCGUAGGCGGUUACUCAAGUCAGAGGUGAAAGCCCGGGGCUCAACCCCGGAACUGCCUUUGAAACUAGGUGACUAGAAUCUUGGAGAGGUCAGUGGAAUUCCGAGUGUAGAGGUGAAAUUCGUAGAUAUUCGGAAGAACACCAGUGGCGAAGGCGACUGACUGGACAAGUAUUGACGCUGAGGUGCGAAAGCGUGGGGAGCAAACAGGAUUAGAUACCCGAGUAGUCCCUGUCUCUUAUAC
rnacentral:rRNA from 1 species